rnacentral:rRNA from 1 species
GACGAACGCUGGCGGCGUGCCUAAUACAUGCAAGUAGAACGCUGAAGAGAGGAGCUUACUCUUCUUGGAUUAGUUGCGAACGGGUGAGUAACGCGUAGGUAACCUGCCUUUUAGCGGGGGAUAACUAUUGGAAACGAUAGCUAAUACCGCAUAACAAUGGAUGCCACAUGUCAUUUAUUUGAAAGGGGCAAUUGCUCCACUACAAGAUGGACCUGCGUUGUCUUAGCUAGUAGGUGAGGUAAUGGCCCACCAAGGCGACGUUACAUAGCCGACCUGAGAGGGGGAGCGGCCACAUGGGACCGGAGAAACGGCCAAGACUCCUCGGGGAGGAGGAGUAGGGGAAUUUGGGCAAUGGGGGGAAAGCUGGACGGGCAAAGCCGGGGGGGUGGAGGAGGGUUUCCGGUCGUAAAGCUCUGUUGUAAGGGAAGGAAGAGUGGGAGAGUGGAAAGUGCACGCUGUGACGGUAGCUUACCAGAAAGCGACGGCUAACUACGUG